ACCAGGCAAUGACUCAUGAGAAUGCUUUAGCCAUCUUCAGACAGGGUUUGGGUUAUCAUGAUAGCACUGCGAGCUUGUAAGGUCCUUGUCUUCUCUGCAUGCUGGCUUCUCCCAUUGUGCUGUUUACUGGCUCAGCAGGAUGACAAUGUAGCUACUCCAGGGAAAUAGCUUUGAAAAAAAUAGUCCAUGGUCAUACACUGAAAGAGAACAUCUAAGUUUUAUGCAAGUCAGAUAUCGUGGUGGUGGUGGCAGCUAUGUUGUUAUAAAGUAUUUGGGUCUACAUUUCUCUGAUUGAUUACACGUAUUAUCUGUAUGAUCUUGGGCAAGGCACUUUACCCUGUUUGCCUCAGUUUUCUCAUAUGAAAAUGAGCCAGAGAAGAAAAUGGCAACCUACUCCAGUAUCUUUGCCAAGAAAACUCCAAAUGGGAUUAUGAAGAGCCAGGCAUGACUGAACAACAGCAGCAAAAAAUUUUCCAGGUUGCCUCUGGAAGAAAACUUGGGAAAUGGCACACUGAUAUAAAAAUGUGA